rnacentral:lncRNA from 1 species
CCUUAUGCAACUCUUCGUUAACAAAUUCAUAAGGGUCAGCUAAAGUCUACUCCUACUACUAAAAUACGUUACAAACUACUAAAAAAGAAUAUAAAAAAGAAUUCUAAUUUUUUUGGGGCCAGGGGAAUAUAAAAGAUGUGUGGGCAUUUUCUUUUUUAAAUUCUAUUACAGUUGGGGAUGGGAAAGGGAAAGAGGAGGCAGAAUUAGGAGAAUUAAACCUACACCUAUAGUAUGGAAGAAUUAAUUCCAUCAGUAGGGGAAGAUGGAAAAAGAAUAGUACUGGAUUGAACUCACACCUAUUAUGUGAAAGACUUAUACCGACACCAAUUAAACUAUAUUUAGGUUUUGGUUAUUGUGAGGCCAUUUUUUUUUUU